GACGAACGCUGGCGGCGUGCUUAACACAUGCAAGUCGAACGGAAAGGCCCUGCUUUUGUGGGGUGCUCGAGUGGCGAACGGGUGAGUAACACGUGAGUAACCUGCCCUUGACUUUGGGAUAGCUUCAGGAAACUGGGGCUAAUACCGGAUAGGAGCUCCUGCUGCAUGGUGGGGGUUGGAAAGUUUCGGCGGUUGGGGAUGGACUCGCGGCUUAUCAGCUUGUUGGUGGGGUAGUGGCUUACCAAGGCUUUGACGGGUAGCCGGCCUGAGAGGGUGACCGGCCACAUUGGGACUGAGAUACGGCCCAGACUCCUACGGGAGGCAGCAGUGGGGAAUAGUGCACAAUGGGCGGAAGCCUGAUGCAGCAACGCCGCGUGCGGGAUGACGGCCUUCGGGUUGUAAACCGCUUUCGCCUGUGACGAAGCGUGAGUGACGGUAAUGGGUAAAGAAGCACCGGCUAACUACGUG
rnacentral:rRNA from 1 species